AACGAACGCUGGCGGCAGGCUUAACACAUGCAAGUCGAGCGCCCCUCCUUCAAGCGAGCUUGAAGGAAUACUUGGAAUAUCAAGCGAGCCGACAGGCUCGCUUGAUGGAGGGGAGCGGCAGACGGGUGAGUAACACGUGGGAAUCUACCCUUCGGUUCGGAACAACACGGAGAAAUCUGUGCUAAUACCGGAUACGGCCUAUGGGCGAAAGAUUUAUCGCCGAAGGAUGAGCCCGCGUCCGAUUAGCUAGUUGGUGUGGUAAUGGCGCACCAAGGCGACGAUCGGUAGCUGGUCUGAGAGGAUGACCAGCCACACUGGGACUGAGACACGGCCCAGACUCCUACGGGAGGCAGCAGUGGGGAAUAUUGGACAAUGGGCGCAAGCCUGAUCCAGCCAUGCCGCGUGAGUGAAGAAGGCCU
rnacentral:rRNA from 1 species